rnacentral:rRNA from 1 species
CAGCAGCCGCGGUAAUACGUAGGUGGCAAGCGUUGUCCGGAAUUAUUGGGCGUAAAGGGCUCGCAGGCGGUUUCUUAAGUCUGAUGUGAAAGCCCCCGGCUCAACCGGGGAGGGCCAUUGGAAACUGGGAAACUUGAGUGCAGAAGAGGAGAGUGGAAUUCCACGUGUAGCGGUGAAAUGCGUAGAGAUGUGGAGGAACACCAGUGGCGAAGGCGACUCUCUGGUCUGUAACUGACGCUGAGGAGCGAAAGCGUGGGGAGCGAACAGGAUUAGAUACCCCCGUAGUCCCUGUCUCUUAUAC